UACGUAGGGUGCGAGCGUUAAUCGGAAUUACUGGGCGUAAAGCGUGCGCGGCGGCGCCGCAAGUCAGGCGUGAAAUCCCCGAGCUUAACUUGGGAAUGGCGCUUGAAACUACGGUGCUGGAGUGUGGCAGAGGGAGGUGGAAUUCCACGUGUAGCGGUGAAAUGCGUAGAGAUGUGGAGGAACACCGAUGGCGAAGGGCAGCCUCCUGGGCCAGCACUGACGCUCGAUGCACGAAAGCGUGGGGAGCAAACAGG
rnacentral:rRNA from 1 species